rnacentral:rRNA from 1 species
UACGUAGGUGGCAAGCGUUGUCCGGAAUUAUUGGGCGUAAAGCGCGCGCAGGCGGUCCUUUAAGUCUGAUGUGAAAGCCCACGGCUCAACCGUGGAGGGUCAUUGGAAACUGGGGGACUUGAGUGCAGGAGAGAAGAGUGGAAUUCCACGUGUAGCGGUGAAAUGCGUAGAGAUGUGGAGGAACACCAGUGGCGAAGGCGACUCUCUGGAUAGCAACUGACGCUGAAGCACGAAGGCCAGGGGAGCAAACGGG